UCUCCGACCUCUCUUCUCUGUCCUCUCUCCCUUCUAUGUCCUCUUCUUUCUAGAUCUCCCACCUCUCUUCUGUCUUCUGCCCACCACCACCGACGCCACUAACCACCGCCGCCACUGAUACAACUUAUUUUCUGGUCAAAUUUGAGGUGUUAAUUCAUGCUACAAUUCAAGGAUUCAAGACUUUUUUUUUGGAAUAUUGUUUUGAUGUUGUAAUUUUUUUGUUUUUUUUUUAUUUUAUUUUAUUGUUUUACAAUUUCAAUUUCUGAGUUAGAAUUUCAUUAUAAUUUAUUGUAACUUUUUAUUUUUUAUUUUUUUUGUAUUGUACAAUAACAAUUUACUUGAAUAUAAUGUGAUUUACAAUUGUUUUGA